GAAUUUGCACUAAUAAACUUUGAAUUCCAUGCAUCCAUCUUGUGGAGGUAAGAUUGUCUAGCCUUUUCGCCCUGACUCAUUGUCACGGGCCCACUAUCUGCUAGCACGGUCCCUUCAGUGGGAGCCGGUGCAUUACUUUCCACGUCUUCGACCGUAGCCACUUCAGGAUCCAUUUACUAUAUAUAAAAACACAAUUUAUCCCGUUAGGAGUCAUCACACUAUCAAUAUACAAUUAUGGCAUGUAUAGCAAGACUUGUACUCACACUAGGUUAGUCCUAGAAUUGACUAGACCAUAGCUCUGAUACCACUAAAUGUAACACCCCUUACCCG
rnacentral:lncRNA from 1 species